rnacentral:rRNA from 1 species
UACGUAGGGUGCGAGCGUUAAUCGGAAUUACUGGGCGUAAAGCGUGCGCAGGCGGUGAGCUGUGUCCGAUGUGAAAGCCCCGGGCUUAACCUGGGAACUGCGUCUGAUACUGGAUGGCCUGAGUUUGGGAGAGGGAUGCGGAAUUCCAGGUGUAGCGGUGAAAUGCGUAGAUAUCUGGAGGAACACCGGUGGCGAAGGCGGCAUCCUGGACCAACACUGACGCUGAGGAGCGAAAGCCAGGGGAGCAAACGGG